UACGAAGGGUGCAAACGUUGCUCGGAAUUAUUGGGCGUAAAGGGCGCGUAGGCGGCUUGGCAAGUGGAUGGUGAAAUCCCUCGGCUUAACCGAGGAACUGCCGUCCAAACUGCUUCGCUUGAGACCGGGAGAGGUGAGUGGAAUUCCCAGUGUAGCGGUGAAAUGCGUAGAUAUUGGGAGGAACACCAGUGGCGAAGGCGGCUCACUGGACCGGUACUGACGCUGAGGCGCGAAAGCGUGGGGAGCAAACAGG
rnacentral:rRNA from 1 species